rnacentral:lncRNA from 1 species
GAUUCUUUUGCAUUGAUGAGCAUGAGGAAUUCUUUUUCUUUUGUUCAAGGAAAAAGCAUUUACUGAGAUAUCACCAAGAACAAGAUAAUAUGACAAAUUCCAGAGAAGUACAGAGAUCAGUAAUAUUGGAUAUCAGGAUUACAACACUGUUAACACAGUAGACAAAGAAAUCAUUAACUCAGUCUGUAGGCACUGAGGAAGACCUCAAAUGGGAAAUGAUGAUUGACUUAUCGAAACUACCUUUUUAAGAUGUGCAGUGGUAACAUGAAAUAAAGAGCUCCAUCUUUCUUGAUGUCUGCAAAGUGAAUCUGAGAAUGCUCCUGACCUUGAAGUAGUACGCUCCAUCAAUGUUCUGUAGCGUGCCCUUGUGUAUAUAUUUCCACUGGAAACUAUUCUAAUGCUACAUACUGAGUUUU